rnacentral:ncRNA from 1 species
GUGUUGUAUGAAAGGAGAGAAGGUUAGCACUCCCCUUGACAAGGAUGGAAGAGGCCCUCGGGCCUGACAACACGCAUACGCAUACGGUUGAGGCAUUGCCACCUACUAAAAAGGCAGCGGAUGGCCUUAAAGCCAAAAGUAAUG